GUGUUCUACUCUGUGUUAGUGUACACUCAGUGUUAGUGUAUACUCCAUGUUAGUGAAUACUCAGUGUUAGUGUAUACUCAGUGUUAGUGUAUUCAAUGUGUUAUACUCAGUGUUAGUGUAUACUCUGUGUUAUACUCUGUGUUAAUGUAUGCUCAGUGUUAGUGUACACUCGGUGUUAGUGUACACUCGGUGUUAUACUCAGUGUUAGUGUACACUCAGUGUUAUUGUAUACUCAGUGUUAGUGUGCGUAAUGGUGUCACUG